UAAUGCUACGGUAUCUGAAUGUGGCAGUAAGGGUGUGUAAUACUACAGUAUCUAUGAAUGUGGCAGUGAGAGUGUGUAAUACCACGGUAUGUAUGAAUGUGGCAGUGAGGGUGUGUAAUACUACGGUAUCUAUGAAUGUGGCAGUGAGGGUGUGUAAUACUACGGUAUGUAUGAACGUGGCAGUGAGGGUGUGUAAUACUACGGUAUCUAUGAAUGUGGCAGUGAGGGUGUGUAAUACUACGGUAUCUAUGAAUGUGGCUGUGAGGGUGUGUAAUGCUACGGUAUCUAUGAAUGUGGCAGUGAGGGUGUGUAAUGCUGCGGUAUCUAUGAAUGUGUCAGUGAGGGUGUGUAAUGCUACGGUAUCUAUGAAUGUGGCAGUGAGGGUGUGUAAUGCUACGGUAUCUAUGAAUGUGGCCGUGAGGGUGUGUAAUGUACAGUAUCUAUGAAUGUGGCAGUGAGGGUGUGUAAUGCUACGGUAUCUAUGAAUGUGGCAGUGAGGGUGUGUAAUGCUACGGUAUCUAUGAAUGUGGCAGUUAGGGUGUGAAAUACUACGGAAUCUAUGAAUGUGGCCGUGAGGGUACGUAAUGUACAGUAUCUAUGAAUGUGGCCGUGAGGGUGAGUAAUACUACGGUAUCUAUGAAUGUGGCAGUAAGGGUAUGUAAUGUACAGUAUCUAUGAAUGUGGUAGUGUGGGUGUGUAAUGCUACAGUAUCUAUGAAUGUGGCAGUGAGGGUAUGCAAUGCUACGGUAUCUAUGAAUGUGGCAGUGAGGGUAUGUAAUGUACAGUAUCUAUGAAUGUGGCAGUGAGGGUAUGUAAUGCUACGGUAUCUAUAUAUGUGGCAGUGAGGGUAUGUAAUGCUACGGUAUCUAUGAAUGUGGCAGUGAGGGUAUGUAAUGUACGGUAUCUAUGAAUGUGGCAGUGAGGGUAUGUAAUGCUACGGUAUCUAUGAAUGUGGCCGUGAGGGUAUGUAAUGCUACGGUAUCUAUAAAUGUGGCAGUAAGGGUGUGUAAUGCUACGGUAUCUGAAUGUGGCAGUGAGGGUAUGUAAUACUACGGUAUCAAUGAAUGUGGCAGUGAGGGUAUGUAAUUCUAUGGUAUCUAUGAAUGUGGCUGUGAGGGUAUGUAAUGUACAGUAUCUAUGAAUGUGACAGUGAGGGUGUGUAAUACUACGGUAUCUAUGAAUGCGGCAGUGACGGUGCGUAAUACUACGGUAUCUAUGAAUGUGGCAGUGAGGGUGUGUAAUACUACGGUAUGUAUGAAUGUGGCAGUGAGGGUGUGUAAUACUACGGUAUCUAUGAAUGUGGCAGUGAGGGUGUGUAAUACUACGGUAUGUAUGAAUGUGGCACUGAGGGUGUGUAAUACUACGGUAUCUAUGAAUGUGGCUGUGAGGGUGCGUAAUGCUACGGUAUCUAUGAAUGUGGCAGUGAGGGUGUGUAAUGCUACGGUAUCUAUGAAUGUGGCAGUGAGGGUGUGUAAUGCUGCGGUAUCUAUGAAUGUGGCAGUGAGGGUGUGUAAUGCUACGGUAUCUAUGAAUGUGGCAGUGAGGGUGUGUAAUGCUACGGUAUCUAUGAAUGUGGCUGUGAGGGUGUGCAAUGCUACGGUAUCUAUGAAUGUGGCUGUGAGGGUAUGUAAUGUACAGUAUCUAUGAAUGUGGCAGUGAGGGUGUGUAAUGCUACGGUAUCUAUGAAUGUGGCAGUGAGGGUGUGUAAUGCUACGGUAUCUUUGAAUGUGGCUGUGAGGGUGUGUAACACUCUUUUGGUUUAUGGUAACAAGCCAGUUGCAAUUGAAUCUAUUUGGGAAAGAGAGAUUGGCUCUUCAGUGGGUAAACCAAAUUUGGGUGCAAAGAGCUUAGACAUCAGCAAAUCACCCCAAACCUGUAUUGUAAAGUGAUUCACAGGGCUUCCACACCCCCAUAUAGGCAACGCCAGAUUAAACUAAACAUAUUUGUGCUAAGAAUGUCCUUCUGGCAUAUCUGUGUGUUUUUGGAGUGUCUGAAGUUAUCCGAGCUACGGACAUUUGUCCUGUUGGAGCUGAACCUCUUCCUCUCACUUUACCUAUGCCCGCUCGAAGAUUUAAUGAAUUCAACUUCAGUAUGAUCAAGUGGAAAAUGCUUAUGGCUAAAUGCUUAGUAAAGACCAUUCUGCAACACUGCUUUACACCACAGCUCUCCAUUGAGACACCUUGGAAUUGCAACCUUAUAAAGAGUCCCCACUGUGCAGACCAAUUGGACCAGUUUUGGCUGUAAUACCUCAGAUCUCCUCUGUGAUCCAGGAAUCCAGGAAGCUCUUUGCACUGGGCAUGUGCAGUGCAUCCCAUCAUAUCAGAGGAGCGACCAUGGAGUGAACUGGGUAAUGCUCUGUGUCUGACCAAUAAGGGGCCACGUCUGCAGAGCCUGAUUGAUCAGGGUUAACAAACUGAAGGAGCCGUGCAUGGAGGGUGACCUCAUUAGUGACACCAGAGCACUGGGGGGGGGGGGGGGGGGGUAUGCAUUAAGGAGCAGCUGUCUCAGGCGAGGCCAUUGGCUUGUCCCUCGAGGAUUGCACCACCUGGCACCAAAACGGGGGUCCACAUCCCUGCAGUCAAGAGGGCUUCCGGAUAGUGAAAGUCGGAAGUGUAGCUUUAAACAGGCCUUGUGAGAAUAGCACAGUGAAAGCCAUGGCACAAUAAUGUCAUAUUUCACAUUAAAAAUCCAUAAAAAGGGUGAGGUUUGUGCAGAAAGGGAGCUUAAUGGGCCAGCUGAGAGGCCACUUGAUAAAUAAUGAAGCCUGUCCUUGUCUCUCUGCACACGAAGAUUCCCGACACAAAAGGCUGAGGGGCAGACACUCUUCCCGGUCAGUUUUUCGCAGGGCGAAAUUGUUGUAACAGUUCUUGGUGUAGAGUGAGGCGGGAAUGACAAUGCGGGAGAUGUGGGAGAACGGCAACUUGCACGUGGCACAGAGGAGCACAGAGCAUGGCCUGACCUCCCUCCCUCCCUCCCUGUGCACCUCCUGCCAGCUCCCUCUGCGUGUGAGGUCCCAUAACCACCACCAGAUCACAUUACCCAUGCUGACGUGAGCCGUGUACCAGAGCAUGAUGGGAAAUGCAGAGUGAUCGUGACUCACAAAGCUUCCAUUAUGCUUAUUAAUUUAGCCAGGUAAAUUAAUAAAGAGAACAUGAUAUGUAAUGUGGUCGAUGAGCUCAUGAGCUCCGAGAAUGAAUGGCACCUCCCUGAAGAACAGCGCAGUUUCCAGUGGAUAUCGGGGGUGUGAUCAGCUGACCACGCUGCUAUGGCAGGGGGGCGUGGCGAGGAAUGUGGCAGAAUGAGGCUUUGUCAGGAAAAGUUGGAACAUCUUAGGUUUUUCUUUCUUCUUUCUGCUCCUCAGCUGAUUUUCUGUUGCUGGGCCCUUGAACAGAAAUGCGCUACAGGAUUCAUCAAAUAUUAAGGGUGCUGAAAAAGUGCCACAUACUCGCUACACUGAUCAAAGCAUCGUACUGAAACUUCAAGCCACGGAAAGUUUCCCUGCGUGACCCAGCUCACAUGGUCGUCUUAGAGUAUAAGCUGGAUGAGACAAGAAUUAUCGGAUUGUUUCGCCUUAGUUGAAAUUAACAGGAGUCGCAAACUUUAGAUCCCACUGUGAAUGCCACUGGUUUCACGGUGUUGACCCGGCAAGUCUGUGCUUUCCACGUGGCCGCUGGCGGACGUCACGUCUCUGCUUUCCACGUGGCCGCUGGCGGACGUCACGUCUGUGCUUUCCACGUGGCCGCUGGCGGACGUCACGUCUCUGCUUUCCACGUGGCCGCUGGCGGACGUCACGUCUCUGCUUUCCACGUGGCCGCUGGCGGACGUCACGUCUCUGCUUUCCACGUGGCCGCUGGCGGACGUCACCUCUCUGCUUUCCACGUGGCCGCCGGCGGACGUCACGUCUGUGGGUCACAGGGUGCCCAGGAGGGGGAGCCCGUUGGCGGACGUAAUAAAUUAAAAAAAAUGGUUAAUAAGAUUACAAAAUAACAGUGGUGUGUAGCCUUUACGUAUCUAAAACAAGCACUUUUGCUUGAAAUGCAAAAAAAAACACCAGUAAGGACUUAACAGUUUUCAGGACUGGAGCAGCUUGGGAAAAUCAAAGGAAAGUUAUCAUUAGUAGGUAUUUAAGCCAACAAUGCUGCAGGUGGCACCGAUUUCUGGGGAGUUUUAGUUGAAGUAGACCAGGAGCAGGUAAGAAAUCCCAUUAAAAUUCCUAUGCAACAAGGAGAUUGUUUUGGCCGACGUGACGACGGCUGACAAGUGGAGAGUCUAGAGGAAGCCUUGUGUUGGAGACGAUCAUGUCGGCGACGGUUGAAGGAGACCUCGCUGAGACACACAGCUACGAAGCAGGUCGUGUCAGUGCUGUUCCACUUUCACAUACAGACAAUGAAGAACCUUUUAAUUAUUCAUGUCAAGAAAAGGAGAUGUGUGUGCAAGCCACUGAAACUGUAGACAGAAUGAGCGGAGAGAAGUUCCUGUGGCUUCUCUGUGUUCACAAGAAGGACUUUUUUUAAAGGUAGCGAUUAGCACAGAGGAUUGUGGGUGUGAGCACAGGGUCAGGUGGUACAACAGAGAGGCGAAAGUGGGUUUAGGUGAGAAGGUUGGCCCUCCUCUGUAAAUGAGCAUGAACGCUAAUGAGGGCCGGACUCGGCAAGCAUGUGCAUGCAGAAGGGUUAGGGGGCGCCCUUUUGGCUGCUCGUAGCAGCUUCGCAGAAGAGUGGUGGGUGUCUGCGUCAUCGCUGGACUCAGGUACACGUGACAGAUGCCGCAGCCCGAGACUGUGAGUGGGUGGUGGACACCUGGAAAUGUCCCACUUGUUAAAAUGGGAACGAUCGACAGUAUGCACCAUGGCUGUUAGCCUCCAGGCUUUGGUAGCGGCUCAUAAGGGUUCCAGAUUGGAUUUUCAUCCCAAUCCGAUUCGAUCCCGGCCCAUGUACUCCCUCUCCAAAAAUGUGUUCCUCAGAAGUCCACUCGGCGCUGAGAUGGUGUACUUAACCUGUGUGAAAGAGUCAUAGUAGGUUCUUGGAGCACUGAUGAUGAGAGACAGCGGCUGGAAAGUUUCAAACUAUGCUGAAGGGAAGGAGAUUCAUUACGACCGCAGCCUCUAGACCAUCUCUCUUUGGGUCAUUUGAAUUGUUCCUAUAUAAGCUGUGGGUCUCGGACACUAACACCACAGUAACACGAUAUCUGCCUAACAGUGACAAAAGAAGAAAUGAUAGAUAUAAAUGCUUCACGCCUCAACAGCAUAGUUACAAUCUCCACACAAAUUACUGGGAAUAAGUCGGAGAAGUGAAUAUGCCAUUAAAACCAAGAUCAUAUAUCCAGAAGAACCAGUUUAAUCAGGAAUGGAAGGUUCCCUUCAGUUUGUAGACCAGGAAAAAUGAGCUCACUUCAUCCUGGUUCAGCUGACAGGAUCCGUGAGUAAUCUAUCAGCAAAUCAAUUGGCUGUCCGACUGGGUGCCUGCGUCUUAAUUCCCCUAGGUAAUUUACAGACCCCGGGGAGAGCCGCUCCUUACACGGACAGACCCGUUGGCGCCUCCUCCUCUGCCUGAGCUCCCGGGCUGGUUAAUCACUCGGCAGGCCGUCUCUGUGCCAGACAUCUCCCGGACUCCACGAGCGCUGCCACUGGUUUGAUUGCUUACUGAAAAAAUAGUGUGUCGGGGAUCUGAGAUUCAAUCUCACAGAAAAUGAGGGCUCCUCCCCCUUGGCGGAGCCACGCUGGACACCCUGUGAUCAUUACUGAUGGAGGACGACAGCCGGGACACGAGCAGAAAGCAGCCGCGGUGUCAUAGAGUGAGAGACAGGCCUUCAAUAGAGCAGAUGCUCUCAUAAGUAUUCGUGUAACACGGUAAGGGAGUUGUGGCAACCUGUAAUCCGGCCGGUCCUCAAAGACUCUAGACAGGGCCCAGCGCGCCUGCUCUUCAUCAGAUAGACAGACAUGCUUUGCCUAGCACAGGGCAUCGCAAACAGGUUCACAGAUGGAUACAGUUGUGCCCCCUGCAGUCUGGAUGAAAACUUGCACCCCUCAGGUUGCAGGGGACUUAUGCAGUCCAUAGCUCUGCUGCCCACAGACACCUUAAUAAAGGUCUAAUAACUAGUAUGAAGUAAUAAGUAUAAUUAUAAGUUCAAUUAAUUGUGUGCAUCCGACUAGAGUAAACCUGGUCAAACUUGAAGAGCUCAUGCACAGUCGGAGGCGGGGGCCAGAAUGGAAGGCACAGCACUGGGGGUGUCGGGUUACCGCGGACGCACUGUCUGCCCCAGGCUCGCACCUGUAUACUGCGUAGUGUAUUGUUUCAAUUUGUGUUAAAUGAUUUGAAUUCCAUUUUCUCUAGGGCCUGGUCAAUAUCUUAUACUGAUUUUAAGGAGAUAAAAAUUCCAGUAACCGAUAUUGUCCAAAGUAAUUUUCUAUGAAUCAAUAGGUGACCAGACAGCAAACAGAUGCCAGUGGUUUUCAACAGUGCUUUGAUUUGAUUGCGUUGGUUUGUCAAACUCAGAUAAACAGCAUCCAUCCAUCCAUCCAUCCAUCCAUCCAUCCAUCCAUCCAUCCAUCCAUCCAUCUAUCCAUCCAUUUUCUAUACCCACUUGUGUUAUGCAGAGUUGGGGGCGGGGGUUUAGAGUCUAUCCCAGAAGCAACAUGGGUACAAGGUAGGGAACAACUCAGGAUGGGGUGCCAACCCAAAUAAACACCAUAAACAUAAACAAAAAA